CUCAUAGCCAACACACACACAUUUUUACCAAAUCAAGCUUGGGUUCGUUGUUCCCAAAUCUGGUGACAUUCGGCAAGGAAAUUCCGAAUCUCAAUCGCGGUGCCGCUACUUGUGAUGGAUGCAUUUUUACCAAAUUUUGCAUUGAUCGCAUUGCCGCUACUGCCGAGAAGAUGCAGCCCAAGUAUGUAAGCCCAAUAAAAUGGGCCCAUAUGCCCAUUAACGCAGGCCCAAUAAUAAUAAUGCAGAAUGUCCACUAUAAAUUUCUCCCUCUCUGCAAACCCUAUUUUUUCACUCUUAGUUGUUUUCCCGUAUCCAGCCCCCGGGAAAAUGGCCGCCGCCGCCGCCCGCCCCCUCGUCACCGUGCAGUCCCUGGAGAACGAUAUGGCCACCGACGGAGGAGCCGCAGCCAACUGCCUGCCUCUUCCUGACGUAAUGAAAGCCGCUAUCCGCCCCGACAUCGUCACGUUCGUGCACGGCCAGAUCUCCAACAACGCCCGGCAGCCUUACGCCGUCUCCAAACGCGCCGGCCACCAGACCUCUGCCGAGUCCUGGGGUACCGGCCGUGCAGUCUCCCGUAUCCCCCGUGUACCCGGCGGUGGUAUUUGACAUUCCUCUCGUGAUUUGAUCAGUAUAUAUACCAGUGAGGAAGCAGCCGCAAUCAAGAGCGCUAGCAAGGGAUGGUAUAAGACAAUGAUCUCUGAUAGCGACUACACUGAAUUUGAAAACUUCACAAAAUGGUUGGGCGUAUCUCAGUGAGGGGUUUUUGAGCUUACAUUUUUUCCUUUCAUGUUUUUUUGAAGCUUAAAUGGAGAGUUUUUGUUUAGACUUUUACUUGGAAUAAUUUCAUGUUGCCUUCACACACUCUGGUUGUUUUGAGUUGGAUGUUUUUGUCAUUCGCGAAUGAGGUUUCAGUGCAAAUCCUACUUAGUCAGAGAAUUAAUCCUUAA